UACGUAGGGUGCGAGCGUUGUCCGGAAUUACUGGGCGUAAAGAGCUCGUAGGUGGCUUGUCGCGUUUGUUCGUGAAAUCUCACGGCUUAACUGUGAGCGUGCGGGCGAUACGGGCAGACUGGAGUACUGCAGGGGAGACUGGAAUUCCUGGUGUAGCGGUGAAAUGCGCAGAUAUCAGGAGGAACACCGGUGGCGAAGGCGGAUCUCUGGGCCGUAACUGACGCUGAGGAGCGAAAGCAUGGGGAGCGAACAGG
rnacentral:rRNA from 1 species